UAUCAAACUACUAAGACCAUUGCUUUAUUUAAAUACGACAAUAGACAUACUCUUCACAGUAAUAUUUGCAACAUGUCUGGUUAACACACGGCAGUGCCUCUACAAAAACGAUGCUGUAAUUCAAACGAAAUCAUACUCGACUCCAAAAUCCUGAUCAAAUACAUCUAUUGCGAAUAUAACUAAUUUCUGUUCCUUUUCUGCUAACCGUGAUCAUGCGUUUGAAUCGUGUUUCCGACGAGAAAAAGAAGAUGACGCCGAAUUUCAAUUCAAUAUCGACUGUUCCAGGUUUUGAAACGACUACUGAUAUAUUAACCGGAGCAGAUUUAUUACGUGAUAAGAAUACAUGUGGAAAAUUUAGUAUCCUUGCCGAUGUUUUGCACAUACCAACAAGUCAAUUAUGCUUUGACAGUUUAGAUUACAAUUCAACAAUCAGUCCGUUUAAAUCGAAGUAAUGCACCAACACAUUCAAAACAGGAUGGUCGAGGCGGAGAGAAGAUACAAAGCUAGGUUUUUGAGAGGUCGAGCUACGAUUAAAAGAUUCCAGAAGGGAGAUAUUGUAAUAAUAAAAAUAUAACCCCAGAAAUCGGAUAUCCCUAUAUUUAAAAUUUUGUGAACUAUACAAAAUCCAGAAAAUAAUUGAGAAUGAUUAAUAUCUUGUAAAGUGAUUUUAGACAAUGGAUGACUUCGAAAUGUGGCACAUGACCAGCUACGAAUGUGGCACAUGACCAGCUACGAUGAGACUUCACAGCAUCUGAGGGACGACACAGAAUUACUAAGCAAGCAGUUAGGUGGACGGUUCGCCUACCUAAUAGUUAUCCGAAAACAAUGCAGAGCACGCAUCAGUAUAACCGUAUCGGCAUGACUUCGGACGAUGAAGCAUCAAUUCUUGAACCUGGCCCAUACUCUACGAGACCUGCAACGGGUACGAGAACAUUACGAAAGCUAAGCAAGAGAGAACACAUCACCAGGCAGGUGCAGAGCACGCACCGCCUGCCAGAAUGGCCGUAUCGGCGCAAGCAGCUUCAACGACGGAUGCAACAUGAAAAUAACUGGCACCAAUUAUUAUAACACCUUAUUGGUCGUCGUUACUAUUGUUAAAAGUAAAACGAAAUCAAAGAGAAUAGAACUAUGUUUGAAUUCUGGUUUAAAUAUGACGUCUGGACGCACGACGGAGGACU